AAGUUGCUAGGUUGAGAAGCACUGCUCUAGAUAGAAACAGAUACAUACUUCCAAAUCGGCCCAAACGUAAUCUUUCAGGAGUCAUCUACAUUCUUUGAUUUUGUUGAAGACCAUUCAAGGAACAAAUUGGCAAGGUUCUAUCAACAGCGUACCCAAAAGUUAGAUGUUAACAGGCCGUAGAUUAGAUACAUCUCAGUAAACUAUUGAAUAAAUUACAUUUGACUAGGUUACCGCAACGUGGUGAGAGAAAACUAUAUUAUGGUUCAGUGUCAAGUGUGAACUUAGCAAAAGCUGUCUGCUGUUCUUACAAUGAUGUUCCUUUUGCUACCUGAAGUUCAGCUAUUUUGCAGCUGCAUUUCCCUCUAAAGCAGUCUGUCUAGGAUAAAACUUAAAAGUCAUUGAAGCUUCUAAAUGCGCAUUGAUAAGGUGGAAAUGGUGGAAAUCUAAGAGCCUGAACGGGGACAGAAAUCCUCUAAUAGCUGUAAUAACGCCAUUGAAGUUGUACCUGCGUCACUUACCUCUUCAGAAGAACUUCUCUAUAGAACCUAUACUUGCCAAACAUUUCUGUAGUUUCUAUUUAUACAGAUUUCUACAGACUAAAAGUUCGUGCACUGAGAAACUUUACAGUACAACAUCCAUUUCAGGAGUAAUUGUGUGUGAGGGAGGAAUGCAGUUUGGUAACUUGGUUCAAAAUAAGGAAAGAGCAUGUAAGGCAGAUAUGCCAAAGUUUGUUGUACGAGGCACUCCAGAAUCACUCAGCAGAGCUGCAGUUCAAAAACUUUUAUCUGACAAAUGCUGUUUAUUAAAUGCUUUAUAUGCUGUAA